GAUGAACGCUGGCGGCGUGCCUAAUACAUGCAAGUCGAGCGAACGGACGAGAAGCUUGCUUCUCUGAUGUUAGCGGCGGACGGGUGAGUAACACGUGGAUAACCUACCUAUAAGACUUGGAUAACUUCGGGAAACCGGAGCUAAUACCGGAUAAUAUUUUGUACCGCAUGGUUCAAAAGUGAUAGACGGUCUUGCUGUCACUUAUAGUUGGAUCCGCGAUGCAUUAGCUAGUUGGUAAGGUAACGGCUUACCAAGGCAACGAUGCAUAGCCGACCUGAGAGGGUGAUCGGCCACACUGGAACUGAGACACGGUCAAGACUCCUACGGGAGGCAGCAGUAGGGAAUCUUCCGCAAUGGGAGAAAGCCUGACGGAGCAACGCCGCGUGAGUGAUGAAGGUCUUCGGAUCGUAAAAAUCUGUUAUUAGGGAAGAACAUAUGUGUAAGUAAAUGUGCACAUCUUGACGGUACCUAAUCAGAAAGCCACGGCUAACUACGUG
rnacentral:rRNA from 1 species